GCGAUGAUAGUCAAGUGGUAUGACGGUGGCUUUUAUUUUAAAGUGUCUAGUUGGACACAAGCAGCAAGUUUAUGAAGAAUAAAGAUCAGGCGCUGCAGUCACAGGUUCGAUUCCUGUUCAUCGCA
rnacentral:tRNA from 1 species